rnacentral:rRNA from 1 species
CCUACGGGAGGCAGCAGUGGGGGAUAUUGCACAAUGGGGGAAACCCUGAUGCAGCCAAGCCGCGUGAGUGAAGACGGUCUUCGGAUUGUAAAGCUCUGUUCAUGGUGGAGAUAAUGACGGUAGCCAAGGAGAAAGCUACGGCUAACUACGUGCCAGCAGCCGCGGUAAUACGGAGGGAGCGAGCGUUGUCCGGAUUUACUGGGUGUAAAGGGUGCGCAGGCGGCUCGGAAAGUCAGUCGUGAAAGCUAGGGGCUCAACCCCUAAAUUGCGCUUGAAACUGUGGAGCUUGAGUGAAGUAGAGGCAGGCGGAAUUCCCGGUGUAGCGGUGAAAUGCUUAGAGAUCGGGAGGAACACCAGUUGCGAAGGCGGUCUGCUUGGCUUUAACUGACGCUCAGGCACGAAAGCAUGGGUAUCAAACAGGAUUAGAUACCCGUGUAGUC